rnacentral:rRNA from 1 species
UGGGGAAUAUUGCACAAUGGGGGAAACCCUGAUGCAGCCAUGCCGCGUGUGUGAAGAAGGCCUUCGGGUUGUAAAGCACUUUCAGUAGGGAGGAAAGGUAAUAGUUUAAUACGCUAUUACUGUGACGUUACCUACAGAAGAAGGACCGGCUAACUCCGUGCCAGCAGCCGCGGUAAUACGGAGGGUCCGAGCGUUAAUCGGAAUUACUGGGCGUAAAGCGUGCGCAGGCGGUUUGUUAAGCGAGAUGUGAAAGCCCCGGGCUCAACCUGGGAAUUGCAUUUCGAACUGGCGAACUAGAGUCUUGUAGAGGGGGGUAGAAUUCCAGGUGUAGCGGUGAAAUGCGUAGAGAUCUGGAGGAAUACCGGUGGCGAAGGCGGCCCCCUGGACAAAGACUGACGCUCAGGCACGAAAGCGUGGGGAGCAAACAGGAUUAGAUACCCUGGUAGUCCACGCCGUAAACGAUGUCUACUCGGAGUUUGGUGUCUUGAACACUGGGCUCUCAAGCUAACGCAUUAAGUAGACCGCCUGGGGAGUACGGCCGCAAGGUUA